GAGGAGAGCAGAGGUGAUUCCUAGGAGAGAGAAGCAGCUGCAAACUGCACUUGGACUUGUACUGUGGGGGCCAGAUUCAUCUACAUUGGCAGAUUGCUAUGACCCAACCACAAAUGGCUCCCAUUUGUCUUGUGGAAAACCACAAUGAACAGCUGUUGGUGAACCAGGAAGCCAUAGAGAUUCUGGACAAGAUUUCUCAGCCAGUGGUAGUUGUGGCUAUUGUUGGAUUGUACCGUACAGGGAAGUCCUAUUUGAUGAAUUGUCUGGCGGGACAGAAUCACGAUCAGAGAUGAGUGAGAUCUCAGUUACUGCUCCAGGGCAUGCCUGCUCGCCUGUGCACAUGUUUCCUGCCAUCAUGGUCAUGGAAUCACCCUCUAAAACUAUAAGCCUCCAAUAAAUUCUUUCUUCUGUA
rnacentral:lncRNA from 1 species